UUGCCUAUUGCAGUACUUUCAGAUUGCUAAUGGGGGAUUUCUACCUUGGUGUGCUGCUUGAAAAAGCAGAGGGUUGAAAGCUGAAGCCAUCCUGAGAGUGAAUGGUUCUCUGCAGUUUUGUUUUGGCCUUCGGUGGAGGAGCUGCUGAAGGGAAGGGAUGUGUUUGCAAAAUUACAUUCCUGCUAAUCUGUACACGAACUGUGACAACACAAGGGCUACCCCAAAAGUGAUGGCCAGGUAAUGGCUGUUUACAGUGAGGACCUCGCAUGGAUCAGCUGCAACAAGGGAUCCUGGAGAGAGGUCUUGGAGAACAGAAGAGGUGUCUGAAUAGUGGAGGAUAGCCAAUGUCACUGCAGAAAGGGAAAGAAGGAGGAUCUGGGAGACUACAGGCCAGUCAGUCUCCCCUCUGUCCCUGGGAAAGUGACAGAACAGCUUGUUCUGGAUGCACCUCUGAGCAAUUGGAAGACAAGUUAUCAGGUGUAGUCAGCGUGGAUUCUCCGAGGGGAAAUCAUGCUCAACCAACCUCGUAGCCUUCUAUGAUGGAUGGGUAGAUGAGGGGAGAGCUGUGGAUGUUGUCUGUGUUGACUUCAGCCAGGCUUCUGAUGCUGUCUCCCAUGUCAUCUUGAUAACGAAGCUGAGAAAGUGUGGGAUAGAUGAGUGGACAGUGAGGUGUGUUGAGAACUGGUUGAGCUGAAAGGGCGGUGAUCAGUGAUGCAGAGUCCAGUUGCAGACCUGUGACUAGCAGUGCUCCCCCGGGGGUCAGUGAUGGAUCUGGUCUUGUUCAGGGUCUCCAUGAAUUACCUUGAUGAGGAGAUAGUGUCUGCUCUCAGCAGGUACGCUGAUGCUACAAAGCUGGGAGGAGUGACUGACAUCUGAUGGCUGUGCUGCCAUUCAGCAAGAGCUGGACAGGCUGGAGAGCUGGGCAGUAAGAAACCAGGUGAGGUUUAACAAAAGCAGGUGUAGAGUCCUGCAUCUGGGAGGAAAUAACUGCAAGUAUCACUAUAGGUGGUUGCAUGACAUUCUGGAGAGGAGCUCUGUGAAGGACCUGGGGGUCCUGGUGGACAAAAGUUUGGCCAUGAGCCCUUGUGUUUGCCCUUGUGGCCAAGAGUGCCAAUGGAAUCCUGGGGUGCAUUAAAAGGAGCAUGGCCAGCAGGGCAAGAGAGAUCUUCCCCCUCUCCUCUGCCCUGGUGAGGCCUCACCUGGAGUCCUGCAUCCAGUUCUGGGCUCCCCAGUACAAAAAAGACAGGGAUCUCCUGGAAAGAGCCCAGCAAAGGAGCACACAGAUGAUAAAAGUGCCUGGAGUACUUUUUUUUUUUUUUCCUUAUAAGGGGGGGUUGGGUGACCUGGGUCUGUUUGGCCUUGAGAAAAGAAGACUGAGAGGGGAUCUGGUUAAUGUUUAUAAAUAUCUUAAGUGUGGGAGACAAAGGGACAUGGCCAACCUCUUUUCAGUGGUCCGUGGAAACAGGACAAGGGGAAAUGGCCGUUAACUGGAGCGUGGGAAGUUCUGUGUCAGUAUGUAAAAGAUGGAGGGUGAUGGAGCACUGGAAUGGGCUAAGGUGAGAGGCGGUGGAGUCUCCUCUGGAGGUGUAGCUGUGCAGCCUGCUGUAGGAAGCUUCUUUGGCAGGAGGUUUGGAAGCAAUCUCUAGAGCUCCCUUCCAACCCCUCCGAUUCUGUGAUUAUAGACAUCAGGUGAGACAGUGAUGUGUGAAUUAUGGAAGGUGUGAGGCUUCUUUCCCAGGUAUGUUUGACCAAAUUGAGAUCAUUUUGGAUUUUGCAGUAGAACCUAUGUAUCCAUUAUUUUGCAUCAUGUUUCUGUAUGCCUCUAUUAAUAAAGUCUUCAUGAGUUUGAACAAUCUUCA